rnacentral:rRNA from 1 species
UACGGAGGGUGCAAGCGUUAUCCGGAUUCACUGGGUUUAAAGGGUGCGUAGGAGGGCAGGUAAGUCAGUGGUGAAAUCCCCGAGCUUAACUUGGGACUGCCGUUGAUACUAUCUGUCUUUAAUACCGUGGAGGUGAGCGGAAUAUGUCAUGUAGCGGUGAAAUGCUUAGAUAUGACAUAGAACACCAAUUGCGAAAGGCAGCUCGCUACACGAAUAUUGACUCUGAGGCACGAAAGCGUGGGGAUCAAA